rnacentral:rRNA from 1 species
AGUGAACGCUGGCGGUAGGCCUAACACAUGCAAGUCGAACGGCAGCACAGUAAGAGCUUGCUCUUACGGGUGGCGAGUGGCGGACGGGUGAGGAAUACAUCGGUAUCUACUUUUUCGUGGGGGAUAACGUAGGGAAACUUACGCUGAUACCGCAUACGACCUACGGGUGAAAGCAGGGGAUCUUCGGACCUUGCGCGAUUGAAUGAGCCGAUGUCGGAUUAGCUAGUUGGCGGGGUAAAGGCCCACCAAGGCGACGAUCCGUAGCUGGUCUGAGAGGAUGAUCAGCCACACUGGAACUGAGACACGGUCCAGACUCCUACGGGGGGCAGCAGUGGGGAAUAUUGGACAAUGGGCGCAAGCCUGAUCCAGCCAUACCGCGUGGGUGAAGAAGGCCUUCGGGUUGUAAAGCCCUUUUGUUGGGAAAGAAAAGCAGCAGGUUAAUACCCCGCUGUUCUGACGGUACCCAAAGAAUAAGCACCGGCUAACUUCGUG